rnacentral:rRNA from 1 species
AACGAACGCUGGCGGCAUGCCUAACACAUGCAAGUCGAACGAGACCUUCGGGUCUAGUGGCGCACGGGUGCGUAACGCGUGGGAACCUGCCCUUAGGUUCGGAAUAACUCCCCGAAAGGGGUGCUAAUACCGGAUAAUUUCUUCGGACCAAAGAUUUAUCGCCUUUGGAUGGGCCCGCGUUGGAUUAGCUAGUUGGUAGGGUAAAAGCCUACCAAGGCGACGAUCCAUAGCUGGUCGGAGAGGAUGAUCAGCCACACUGGGACUGAGACACGGCCCAGACUCCUACGCAAGGGAGGAGUGGGGAAUACUGGACAAUCGGCGAUAGCCUGAUACAGCAAUGCCGGGGGAGUGAUGAAGGCCUUAGGGUUGUAAAGCUCUUUUAGCCGGGAUGAUAAUGACAGUACCGGGAGAAGAAGCUCCGGCUAACUCCGUG